CCCCCGACACCCCCGUGCUUCCCUCCCCAUAGGCCCAGCGAGCCCCCGUGAAGGCCCUGUGCCGCCCCCAGCCCCAGCGUGCUCAGCAACAGCACCAGGUUUCCCCUCAACGUUCCCAGUGUGCCCUCAAAAGCCCCAGUGCCACCCAGAAAGCCCCAGUACCCCCCAACAGCCCGGGGGUCUCCACAGCAGCAGCUCCCUCCCCAGCGUGCCCACCCUGACAUCCUCAGUGUUCUCCCAGCAAGCCUAAGGAGAGUUCACAGCUGUUGGACUGGGAAAGACCAUGCAGUUCCAAGCCCCUGCCGUGGACACCUUCCGCAGCACCAGGUUGCCCCAGUCCACAUCCAACAUGGCCAACAAGAGAAGCAGCACUACUGUGGUAUCACCAUUUUUGGGGACAGCUCAGCUGGAGCAGCCUGGAGCUGGAGCAAGGACAUUGAUGACACUCUGGUCCUGUGUUUGAACCUGUUUUCCCCCUGAUUCUGCCCAUGCAAAAGAGAUUUGGGAAGACCUUGGGAAGGUGUUUUGGUAAGAAAUGUUUAAACUUUGUCUAUGCUGCAACCUCUCCCCUGACCCUCAGUGAGCCCCAGCCCCACCAACAAGUUGCAGUGGAAACAAAGGCAGUUCUUGCUUCAGAUUCUUCAGAGAUAGCAAUAUGUCAGGAGCCCCUGGAGAGGCUGAAAGUAAAUGAAUCAGUGCUAGAAAGUGAAGGAUAUCAUCCGUGCUGAAUGGUGAAAAGGAGUCCUGAACAGUAUCUUCAUUGAUUUUCCUGUAAUUGACACAGAGCUCGGCUCGCCGGAGGCUGCGGCAGGAGCGGGGAGGCCCAGGUACCGCUCCCGCCUCAAUUAGGCAGCUCGGGGCUGGGGGCAGCUCCAAAGGAGCCAGCGGGUCACAGGGUGCUCUGCAAGCUGCCUUGAGGACAAGGGGCAGCUUGGAGGGACGUGUCCCAGGCUGUCAGCAGCUCCCCACCAGUCCUGGCAUAGCCCCAGGUGCACCAAGCCCUCAGCCGGUGAGAAACACCGGCCCUAAAGUCAGGAAAAUCCAGCAGUGGCAGUGGCAGGAAAUCUGGUUAGCUGAGAUCUGAGGCUCUCCAAGGAGAAAUUGCCUCGUGUGUGAAACCUCUCAGCUGGGCGGUGGGACAGACCCCGCUCUCUGGGCACCCAUGGUGCAGCAGGGGUGGCACUGCAGGAGGGAUGGGUCCCAUCGAGGAGAAGCAUGGCCGCACCUCACAAAAGGAACCAGGAGCAUCGAUCACUUCACAGCCCAGCGGAAGAGCCACCUGUCAGGUUGGGCAUGUGCUUAGGAAAGUUUCCCAGUUUUGACUUAUUCAUGCAAAAGGAGGCAGGCGGAGUGAAGCCAGACGGGAUGCCAGGGCUGGCAGGGCUCCUGAUGCCCCUUCUGCCAUGGACGGAUGUGUUCUGCCCCCAAAUCCUUCAGCAGCAAGCGCCGGCAGCUCCAGGCAGCGGGACAUGUUCCAUGGUGACAUCCCAGCGGCCGGAGCCUCCGUGGCCCCUCGGAGCAGAGCACGCACCUUGGUUUGACUCAGCUCCUCUGGACCCCUCAGAGACAUCCAAGGAGAGCAGCUGAAGGAAUCUGGUGUAGAUGGAGGGUGAUCAUUUCCAGCCUCCAUGUUCAGGAGCAAUUCGUUAUCCAAACCUCCAGUUUGGGAGAAAAAGGUAUUUAAUCUUUUUUAAUCCCUCAGGACUCAGACCUCUGACCUGGAACCUACAACCACCCCCAUCCCACGGGACAGGACACAGGCACAGAGGGCUGGUGGUUUGCAACCAGCCCUUCCCUGUAUCCCAGGAAAUGCUGUUCCCUAUAUCCCAGGUAGGCUUUGCUGCCAGCUGCCUCUCCAGGUGGGCUCCAGAUCCACCCUGGAAGGAGGUGACCUGCAGCCUGCCGAGUUCCUGCACAGUUUGGCUUGGAAAGGACCUUCAAGACCAUCCAGUCCCAACCUCCUGCACGCUGGGAUAUUGGGACAGGCAGGUGUGGAGCUGGAGCUCUCACGAUCUCCCAUCUCACCAUCUCUGUAUGGUUACUCUCACUAUACAGAGAAUAGCUCCCAGCAGCUGCAGAGGGAAUGCAUAAGCUGUCCCUGACAGGCAGUGUCAGUGGUUCUGAGUCCACGAGUCCCAUUUAUCCUCCUUCCCAGUCCCCCCCAUCGUGUGUCUGACAGAAUUCCAUUAGGGAGCUGCUAUCCUGUGCUGUGUCCCUGCCCAUGGCAGGGGCUGGAAGUGGCUGAGCUUUAUGGUCCCUUCCGGCCCAAACCACUCCAGGACCCCAGGAUUCUGUACGCCCCCUCCCACAGCGGUGCUCCAGGAGCAGGUGAUGGCUCUGGACAACUGAAUCCUAGAGAAAAUUGUCACUGAAAGGAGCAAUCACAGCAGCGUGGCUGCAGCCCUUCCCAUUUCCCCUGGCAAACCUUCCCCCGGGACUGUGUGCGCCUGACCCUAAACCUUCCCCAUUUUCCAAGCCAAUGCACUUGAUGGGAACUCAUCUCUGCACUCCCCACGGCUUCCCUGGCAUCCCCGGGGUGGGACACGGCCGCUUUCGGCUUGGCUGAAUCCCUGAAUCCAUUUCUCAGAUUGGACUGGGGCUCUGCUCCGAUUUGUUCCCCUUCCUUCCAGCUCAGCAGACAUCCUCACCUCUGGAACACAGGCGGCUCUGCUCUCCUCAGCAGGACAGGGAUUUCCCUCAGUCUCCAUGUGGAAAGCAGACCUGUGCUGGACAAACACCCGGGAGGGCCAAGGAAACCCCUCUGGCACCCCGGGACCAUCCCACUCCCCAUCCUCUCCCUCCUGCCUCUGCCUCCUCCCACGAGGCCACCAGCAGCACCUUCACUGCUUGUUCCUGGA